rnacentral:rRNA from 1 species
GAUGAACGCUAGCUACAGGCUUAACACAUGCAAGUCGAGGGACCGGCGCCCGGGUGAGUAACGCGUAUCCAACCUUCCCAUUACUGUGGGAUCACCUGCCGAAAGCCAGUCUAAUCUCGCAUGGUAAUGCAUGGGGAUGCGUCUGAUUAGCUUGUUGGCGGGGUAACGGCCCACCAAGGCGACGAUCAGUAGGGGUUCGGAGAGGAAGGUACCCCACAUGGGAACUAGGACACGGUCCAAACUCGUAGGGGAGGGAGCAGUGAGGAGUAUGGGUCAAUGGGCGAGAACGCGAACCAGCCAAGUAGCGGGCAGGAUGACGGCCUAUGGGUUGUAAACUGCUUUUGUAUGGGGAAAGGUACCAGACGAAUAAGGACCGGCUAAUUCCGUGCCAGCAGCCGCGGUAAUAC